UCCAAGGUUAAAUAUGAACUCAAAACACAAUGGGACAGUUUCAGCGUAGCACAGAAUAUCAACAUUGCACUGUCCAUGCACUCAAACAAGAGUUUAUUCUGGUCUCUUUGGUUAGGUAACAGUAGUCUGGAGCUUCAGCUGGUAAAACUGUACCAAGCCCUGUACAGAAAAUAUCUGAGCUAAACAGAUGCUGCUUUUUCCUGCAAAAUUAUCUUACAAAUGACUUGUGCUCUAAGCUGAUUUUAUGCAUAGCAAAUACAUUUCUAAAUGAGAUUUCCUCCAUCAACCUCCGCUAACAGCAAUACCUAUUACAUUAUGCCUUAAAACAGUAUACCUGCUUGGAGGUAAUAAGCCUCACAAUCAGUCACUAUGGCAAAGAGUAAAUUGUCUUUUAUUCCAUUUCCAGAGGCAUAGAGGAAUACACAGAAGAAAAGAGUUUACUUGAGUUCAAGUGCAAGAUAUUAUCUUGUACUGGGGCUAAAAAUAGAGGUUUUUCCAGUGUUGAUCUUGUUUACAAGCAGCACAUAUGGCUAGUGACCUAUCUUCCCAAGGAGAAUGACUGAGAUGUGUUUGGAAUUAUUCCUGGAAUUAGACCAGCAUGAGGUCUCCUUUACCAAUUUGAGUGAUGUAAAAUACCUACAGGAGCAGCUGCUUCUAAUCUUUUUUUUUUUCUCUCUGGCCUAAUGAAUCUGGAGUAUUUAUUUGCAAGUUGAGCAGUAGUGAGGACCGAGUGUCCUGAUUCAGGAGCUGCCCAUUCUUGGUGAUGAGGGCUAGUUCUGGCUUUAUCAGCAGAGAAAAGACUUAAAGGCAGCCAAUAAUAACAGGCAAAAGGAUUUAGGUGGAAUUUAGGCAGGAUCCAGGGCAGAUUGAUCUGUGCAAUUUAUUUGUUCUGACAUCAAUCCUGGCUCUGCCAAAUAGGUCAGAAUCUGUUGGUGAGAUUGCAAUAGGCACAUGUAUGGAGAGCUGAAUGUGUCCCAGAUAAGACUACUUCUUUUGAAAAGUAAGGGUCUUGAGCAAAGCUCUGUCAACAGCAUCUUCCAUUCUCCUACCACUACCACCACUACAAUCUACUGCUUUUGUGGUUCUUUAAAAACAAUGUGGCCCUGUGAUGAAAUGGGUUCUUCUGUGGUGAAAGAAGUAGAUUUUAGCAACCAGGAUGAAAGCAAACAGUAAAAUUCUUAUCAGCAGCAACCCCAAAUCACUUGUCUAACUACUCUUUCACAUCAUAAAUACUGCUCAGUUGUAUUUAACUGAUCAGUAUAACCAGAGGUAAAUGAUGUUACAGUUCUUCCA